UCGUCUCCUCGGGGCCAAAAUACCUCCGAGAGACGCUCAGCGAACCGACUCAACCCGACACGUUUUCCUAGAAUAUGCAGAACAUCUUCUCUCAGACAAGCUUGAUUUCCCCUGAAACAGCUUCCAGAGAGAGCGAGCGAUAUUUCUCUUCUCAUAUCAACCCAUCCAGUUAGCCUGAGGAAGAUUUUAUUGAUCCCUGUGUCGAAGCUAGUAGUGGCCAAGUGUCCCUGAAUGCACCACCAGGAUGAAGAGUUCAAGCUUCUUCUACAACGAGAGUCAUUCUACUGGUUAAAACUGACCGGAAACAGUUUCGUGAGGCGGUUAAAUGUUUACGCUGACUUCAUAUUCCAGUCGACGUUCCUGCAGAAAACUGGACUUCAUGAAUGAUAAUCUCAGAGCUCCUCGCUUGUUUUUCUGCCUGACUAAGCACCACUUUUGCUUUCUGUCUUUGAGGAGUUUCCACAUUUUUUCCGCUCUUUAAAAAGUUAACAACUGCAUUUCACGAGCAGUCAGCGAGUCAGUGUGAUUCUGUAGAAUCUGUGAUUGGACAUUCAAACAGACGUCCACAUGUUUUUGUGAGGGUUCCUGCAUUUUUUCCCCCCUGAUAAAUGCUCGGCCACAGAAAAAAAAAAAUGCAGAUUUGAAAAAAAGUGGAGGGAAAGAGAGGAUGAAAACAUGAUGACUGUCAGAAUCAGAUUCACUGAAUGUAAAUGACGUCACACAACGUGCAGCCAGAACAGCCUGAGAUUUAUAAAAUGAGACUCCAAUCAGGCUAAUCAGGAGCAGCCGUGCACCGAGUGAGGCCUCAGCAAUCAGCAGGAGCAGCUGUGUCCGACAACCGUGACAUCAACUCACCUGAACAGAGGAUUGGUUACUUAUCAAACAUCCGUUAGUCAUGUUUCCCCAUCGCUGUGGAUCAAUACAGGGAGAGAAAUCAAUCAGAUAGUCCAGUCGAUCAAUCACAUGAAACAUUAGAGAAAGAAAAAAUGAAGAUUAAAUAGUUCAAUCAUUAUUUUAAAAUGGUCCAAAGUUUCAUGCAAAACGUGACUUCUGUCGCUCUCAGUCGAAACAAAGAUGAAGUUUGAUGAUGAAGUAAAACAGCAAAAGUUGAGUCUUUGACAUUUUACUGCAGAAAUGUUACAUCUUCAAAUAUAAAAGAUUACAGAAUAAAGAAACCUGAGGAAGGUCAGAGCAUUUAUUUUGUUCUGUCUGUGUAUUUUAUUUAUUUAUU